AAGAGAAAGGAAACAAAAAAAGAAACAGAAUAGGCAAACGAAAAGCAGGGGAAGGAAAGAAAGAAAGGAGAAAGAAAAGAAAAAAGGAGAAUUGGGGUUUGAAGGUUUGGAAGUUUAAUAGCUAAUGUUGUCUCGGGAAAUCUCGGCUAAGCAAGGAAAAAUGGCAAAGACAACGGGAGUUAGCUCGAGAAAAUACGGUAAAGUAAAGAUAGAACGUUGAAUCAGCAUCCUAGGCCGAUCCCGAAUUCAAUGAGGUAAAUUGUGUUAAUUAUGGGUAAUGGCAUGUACCUAGGAUGUCUUAUGUGUGUGUCAUUUUGAAAUUGUAAAUGUAAUGAUGAAAUAAAUAAAUUUAGGUUUGGUUAUGGUAUAAAAUAGGAUUUGACUAAUUUGGUGUGAAUUUGAAUUUUUGUGAGACAAUGUCAGAUUGAUUUUGGAAUUUCCUAUUCUGAAUUGGGAAAAUCAUUAAAAA